rnacentral:misc_RNA from 1 species
AACCUAGCACACCUGCGGUGUGUACCUGCGGAAGGAUCAUUACCUAGAGUUGCGGGCUUUGCCUGCCAUCUCUUACCCAUGUCUUUUGAGUACCUUCGUUUCCUCGGCGGGUUCGCCCGCCGGUUGGACAACACUUAAACCCUUUGUAAUUGAAAUCAGCGUCUGAAAAAACUUUAAUAGUUACAACUUUUAACAAUGGAUCU